rnacentral:rRNA from 1 species
UACGUAGGGUGCAAGCGUUGUCCGGAAUUAUUGGGCGUAAAGAGCUCGUAGGCGGUUUGUCGCGUCGGAUGUGAAAGCCCGGGGCUUAACCCCGGGUCUGCAUUCGAUACGGGCAGACUGGAGUGUGGUAGGGGAGAUCGGAAUUCCUGGUGUAGCGGUGAAAUGCGCAGAUAUCAGGAGGAACACCGGUGGCGAAGGCGGGUCUCUGGGCCGUAACUGACGCUGAGGAGCGAAAGCAUGGGGAGCGAACAGG